rnacentral:rRNA from 1 species
UGGGGAAUUUUGGACAAUGGGCGAAAGCCUGAUCCAGCAAUGCCGCGUGUGUGAAGAAGGCCUUCGGGUUGUAAAGCACUUUUGUCCGGAAAGAAAUCCUUGGCUCUAAUACAGUCGGGGGAUGACGGUACCAGAAGAAUAAGCACCGGCUAACUACGUGCCAGCAGCCGCGGUAAUACGUAGGGUGCAAGCGUUAUCGGAAUUACUGGGCGUAAAGCGUGCGCAGGCGGUUUGCUAAGACCGAUGUGAAAUCCCCGGGCUCAACCUGGGAACUGCAUUGGUGACUGGCAGGCUAGAGUAUGGCAGAGGGGGGUAGAAUUCCACGUGUAGCAGUGAAAUGCGUAGAGAUGUGGAGGAAUACCGAUGGCGAAGGCAGCCCCCUGGGCCAAUACUGACGCUCAUGCACGAAAGCGUGGGGAGCAAACAGGAUUAGAUACCCUGGUAGUCCACGCCCUAAAGCGAUGUCAACUAGUUGUUGGGGAUUCAUUUCCUUAGUAACGUAGCUAACGNGUGAAGUUGACCGCCUGGGGAGUACGGUCGCAAG